rnacentral:rRNA from 1 species
GUAGGUGGCAAGCGUUGUCCGGAAUUAUUGGGCGUAAAGCGCGCGCAGGCGGUUCUUUAAGUCUGAUGUGAAAGCCCACGGCUCAACCGUGGAGGGUCAUUGGAAACUGGAGAACUUGAGUACAGAAGAGGAAAGCGGAAUUCCACGUGUAGCGGUGAAAUGCGUAGAGAUGUGGAGGAACACCAGUGGCGAAGGCUGCUUUCUGGUCUGUAACUGACGCUGAGGCGCGAAAGCGUGGGGGAGCAAACAGGAUUAGAUACCCUGGUAGUCCACGCCGUAAACGAUGAGUGCUAAGUGUUAGGGGGUUUCCGCCCCUUAGUGCUGCAGCUAACGCAUUAAGCACUCCGCCUGGGAGUACGGCCGCAAGGCUG